CAGCGCCGCGGGAAUACAGAGGGUGCAAGCGUUAAUCGGAAUUACUGGGCGUAAAGCGCGCGUAGGUGGUUCGCCAAGUUGGAUGUGAAAUCCCCGGGCUCAACCUGGGAACUGCAUCCAAAACUGGCGAGCUAGAGUAUGGUAGAGGGUGGUGGAAUUUCCUGUGUAGCGGUGAAAUGCGUAGAUAUAGGAAGGAACAUCAGUGGCGAAGGCGACCACCUGGACUGAUACUGACACUGAGGUGCGAAAGCGUGGGGAGCAAACAGGAUUAGAUACCCCGGUAGUCCCUGUCUCUUAUACA
rnacentral:rRNA from 1 species